rnacentral:snRNA from 1 species
AUACUCACCUGGUUCCGGGGCCUCGUUGAUCACCGAGGACGAGCGAGCCCCCAGGGCGAGGCACUGGGCAUUGCACUGAGCUCGCGUUGACACCUGCCGCUACCCCAAGCAAGGGCAGAUGGGGCAUGCAAAUUGC